GAGACCCGAGCCCCAGACCAAGGCCGAGUAGUGCCUGGCGGGGCGUGUUGACGUGUGUGUGUGUGUGUUGGUGAGCAGCGUUCAUUGCAAGGUGUGUUCCUCCAUAUUUACCGCAUAAAAUGAAGACAAAGAUUCUUGUGUUGCCCUGUAAUGUGUUGUUCUAUGGCUGUGUUGUUGUCAGUGCUAAGAGGCUGGGGGAGGGAGAGGCUUAGUGAAGCAGACUAUGGUGAUGCCAAGGUUAUUUACUUUGUUGAAUCUCGUCGACUACGGACACAGCUGAGGUGGACCUCCGCUGCUUCCCACUGGCUCCUCUCCUCUUGCUGAAGGGAAACAACAAAGGAGAAGGGAGGAACAUGCCAUCCCAACCCCCAGGCAGUACAGAGUGUGAUUAUACAACUAGUAAUACAUGUGGAGGCAGUACCAAGAAACGAUAAAGACACAAUGGCAGGAAUGAAUGCACAACAAGGGAGGGGGGCGGUACCUGCCGGCCUCCCCCUGGGCAAUGAUGAUGUGUUGUCUGUGGCAGUGUUCACCCACGAGGCGCCCCAGCUGGUGAUGCUGUGCCGGGUGUGUUGUUCCCUGAGCAGUAAUUAUGCUGUGCUCCAGCACUGGCGGCAGUGCUUCCAGAUGGUCAUCCUCAGAGCACCACAUUCAUCAGAGUCGGCCCCAAAACCUUCAUGGGCACUCCAGUAAUGAGGUCCAAUCAAACCACCAUCCAGGCCCCUCAAGAAAGCCUACUGCCGCUAUAGGCUGACACAUAAAAAAAAAAAAAUAAAUAAAUAAAUAAAAUGAAUAAUAAUAGUAAUGAUAACUGUUAGGUAAUGUGCCGUGGGUUAUGGUUAAACUGAGAUUGGAGUGGCUGCACCUUGCAGGGACUUGGUACCUUAUUGUAUUUGUUUAUUUAUUGUCUCCAUAUCCAUAUUUGUCCAGGUUUCUUAAGUUUCCACAAACUCUUUGCCUCCAUUACCUUUUCUCUUAAGUCAUUCCCAGUGUUUAUGUUUCUCCUUGGAAAGCUGUAGUCCUUAGUAUCAUGACGACAUGUUCCCUUCCUCAUGUUUUCCUGUGACCUCCUAGCUCUGCCUUCCCUUCCCUUGUCAGUAAUAGGUCUUUAUCACCUGACUCCUGCAAGUCACUCACUGGUUCACAUCCUGCAGUCAAACCUUCUCUCUCCCCUUUUAUAGAAGUGAAUGUAUUGAUAUUUUAUGUGAGUGUAAGGAA